UGAGGAAUUUUGCGCAAUGGGGGAAACCCUGACGCAGCGACGCCGCGUGGAUGAUGAAGGCCUUCGGGUUGUAAAAUCCUGUCAGAUGGGAAGAAGUGGCAUUUAGUUAAUACCUGAGUGUCUUGACGGUACCAUCAAAGGAAGCACCGGCUAACUCCGUG
rnacentral:rRNA from 1 species